rnacentral:lncRNA from 1 species
UUUGCGACCCCCGGUGUGGGCAAGCCCCCAAACCCCGCGGGAGGUCCACAGCUGCCGGUGUAAGUGCGCGCGUAUCGUACUGCAAUGUACCGUGUCGUACACGAGGGGAGGAGGGGGGAAAGGGGGGGAAGCCACCAGUGAAAGGAAAGCCUUUUAUUUAAUUUCCUGAUAUUGCAUUGGAACUUUCAUAAACAACUCUAUAUAAAUAUAUAUGAUAGUAUAACUCUACAAUUUUGUAGGUGCAUAUAACUUAGGAUUGCGCAGCAGUGCAAGUGCGUUGGUGGUGGGGUUGCGAUGGUUGAUAUUGGCGACAGACAAGAUGAUGCCUCGGACCGAAGCUGAAAGCCUCCGGCACCCGAACCUCGGGCAGCAAGCCAGCUCCCGGAUGAGCUAUCCUACGUGCCAACCCUCCCCCCCCUCAACCCCGACUCCCGAGGGCCCCUGUUUGCGGAUUCUUCUCCUUUAUCCUAGAGCCCCUAUCUCCCACGGAAAGUAUAUAUAUAUAUAUAUAUAUAUAUAUAUACUUUCCACUGUCCCACUGACAGGGACUGAGGAGCAGGAAAGUGGAAAGCAAAGGCAGUUCGUUCCGGUGGUGCCGGUGGUAUUGCCGGGUCGGAUUCGGCCACAACGGAACCAACGGAAUUCCUAGAGGGAGGGGGAGGGGAGGGGGAAAACAGCUGGAGGCCCAAACUAUGCCAACACACACACAGACAGAGAGACAGAGACACACGUGCAUGCACGCACGCUCACGUGCACGUCUUGGCUAUUGUCUACAGAGGCCGAGGGUCAAGGAAGGGGGCCUGGGGACCUGAGCGAUUGCUGUGAGCGGAACCCGCUCCUCCUCCUCUUCCACACACUGUCUUUCUCCCACACACGUUUCCUGCUCGAAAAGAUCCAUAAAACCUUAACCCCAUGGUUAGUUGCUCUUGAACGAGAAGCUCUUGAACCAACCCAAAAUUCGCCAUAAAAUUCGCCAAACCCCACCCGCCCCUCGCCGCUCCAUAUUUCCUCUCUGCAGCCAAGCAUCAGGUCCAGCAGCAGCCGCUGCUGCGGCUGAGGCGGCGGCGGCGGCGGCACCAGCCCUAUUGCCGCCGCCGCCAGCCUCACAGCCAGGCCCUACCGCCGCCUCCGUCGCCGCAGAGCCUGGCGGCCUGAAAACAAUGCUGGAGGCGAUGGGCCCCUUGACGAUGAUGACAUUGGGGGAAAGCUACCGCCCCUUGAGCAGUACCAGCAGCAGCAGCUGCUGCAGCAGUCACGACCUUGCGAGGGCGGGCGGCGGGAAGGUACAGGGGUGCAGCUUCCCUGCGGGGCUCUUGGAGGCCAUCACUAUGGCACGUGGUGC